GAUGAACGCUAGCGGCAGGCUUAACACAUGCAAGUCGAGGGGUAUGCCGAUUUAUCGGCAGAGACCGGCGCACGGGUGCGUAACGCGUAUGCAAUCUACCUUUCACAGAGGAUAGCCCAGAGAAAUUUGGAUUAAUACCUCAUAGUAUAGCAGUUUCGCAUGAAACCACUAUUAAAGUUCCAACGGUGAAAGAUGAGCAUGCGUCCCAUUAGCUAGAUGGUAAGGUAACGGCUUACCAUGGCUACGAUGGGUAGGGGUCCUGAGAGGGAGAUCCCCCACACUGGUACUGAGACACGGACCAGACUCCUACGGGAGGCAGCAGUGAGGAAUAUUGGUCAAUGGACGCAAGUCUGAACCAGCCAUGCCGCGUGCAGGAUGACGGUCCUAUGGAUUGUAAACUGCUUUUAUACAGGAAGAAACACUACUUCGUGAAGUAGCUUGACGGUACUGUAAGAAUAAGGAUCGGCUAACUCCGUGCCAG
rnacentral:rRNA from 1 species